CUUUGUGCUUGGGACUUCUGACUGUUCUCAUUCUUCAGAGUUCUGAGUUUGAGUUGGAGGCUAGUGAAGAAUCUGCUGACUGGACCUGAGACCCUGUACCUAAUGAGACUGUCCUUGAAUCUCUUUCUUUGGAUUGACAUGUGGUGAGUUAAAAGAGCUGAUGCCUUUCAUGGAUUUUCUGAAGAGACUAGGCUCAGGAGAGACCUAUCCUCUUGAGAGAUGCUCUCUGCAUCCCCAGGUCUUCAACUCAAGGCUGAAGUUUCUCAAGGACUUUAAAUAUUUCCAUGGACCUGCUAUCUCAUCAAUGUGGGUCAAUUCAUCUAAAGGAGAAUCAUUUUCAAGAGUCAGAAAGACCUGGUUCAAGUCUCAACUCUGAUAUAUACUGUCUGCAUUCAUGUGCAAAUCUCUUAAUCUCUUGAUGACCUUAGAUAACUCUGUAAGAUUAUAUGGCACAGAGGCAGUACUGCUCUACAUUAUUAGAAGGCAUUUCAUGCCUUGGUAUGGCCUACUGAGUAGAAUAAAGGGAAU
rnacentral:lncRNA from 1 species